rnacentral:ribozyme from 1 species
AAAAUGGUUUGUUGAAGAGAAGCGUGUAGAUGGUUGGAACGACCCUCGUUUCCCCACGGUGCAAGGUGUGAUGAGGC